CUUCUUCUCUAAAGCAAAAAAAAAAAAAGAUUUGAGAAGAGAAGGAAAGAAGAAGAAGAAUGGAUUAUCGGACUCUCUGUUCUCUACAAGGAUUACAAAUCGAUUGUGAUGGGCUGCUCACGAAUCGAUUUCAUAGCCACAUAUUCGUUAAUACUGCGUCUUUUCCUUGGUCGAUUUCUCUGUUCUCUGCGUCUUUUCCUUGGUCGCUCACGAAUCGAUUUCUCAGCAGAAGAGCUUCGGGGACUUGAUUUGCAGACAGGUUCGUUCACAUUGAAACAAAUCAAACGUGGUACUAAUAACUUUGAUCCAGAAAACAAGAUUGGUGAAGGAGGAUUUGGACUGGUUUAUAAGUUAUUAGGGUGUUCUUGCUGAUGGAAUGACCAUCGCCGUGAAGCAGCUUUCAUCAAAAUCUAAGCAAGGAAACAGAGAAUUUGUGACUUCUUGAUCUGUCUCUAAAUGCUAAGAUCUUUGAUUUUGGUCUAGCCAAGCUCGACGAGGAAGAGAAUACACAUAUCAGCACAAGGAUUGCAGGGACAAUAGGUUACAUGGCUCCAGAGUCCAGAGUAUGCAAUGAGGGGUUACUUAACAGACAAAGCAGAUGUUUACAGCUUUGGUGUUGUCUGUUUAGAGAUUGUUAGUGGAAAGAGCAAUACAAAUUACAGACCAAGAGAAGAGUUUAUUUACCUUCUUGAUUGGGCAUAUGUCUUGCAAGAACAAGGGAGUCUUCUAGAGCUUUUCGAAGAAAGAAGCAAUGAGGAUGUUGAACAUAGCUUUACUCUGUACCAACCCAUCUCUGACACUGAGACCACCAAUGUCAUCUGUCGUAAUAAUGCUAGAAGGAAAAAUCAAAGUCCAACCACCAUUGUUUUUUUUUCAAGUUUUUGUAACUUUGUAAUUUUCUUAUGUUUUUAA